GUUGGUGAUUUGUCGCAGGAGUCACACCUCUUCCCAUUUCGAACAGAGAAGUUAAGCCCUGUAGUACCGAUGAUACUCCUUGUGGGGAAAGUAGGCAGUCGCCAGCA
rnacentral:rRNA from 1 species